rnacentral:lncRNA from 1 species
AAGAAACUAGACUCAAAAGAUAUAUUCUUUCAAUGCUGGACAGAAUGAAGAAAAGAAUGAAUGAGUGAAUAUGGAGUAUAAAGAUGGGAGCCAUCUUUUUCUGAGCAAGACCUGCACUCCAAGUGAUUUUGCUUCUGGGACCAAAUUAUGCAGUCAUUGGCAUCGGACUGUCUUAGCAAAAUUAAUGAAAACAUAAUUAAAUUUCAAGUUACCGACAGAACUGGCUCACAAAUUUCCUGAAGAUUUAACAAUGGGCUCUCGUGUGCUUGGUAAAGAAGAGGUGAUACACAAACAUUCGGAGCUGCACACAAGAUAAAUGCUUUCAUUACAAAAGCAUUCUCUGGAUUACAAAAGGAUCCACAAUAAUUCACAUAAUGCUCUUUUGCGCCUCUAUGUUCUUUUUGCUCAUUCUGUCUCACCUGUCUUUUUACAGAGCAAGGUCCUGAACUAUGCUUAAAACAUAAUUUCAUUUACAGAAAAUCCUUUAUAUA